rnacentral:rRNA from 1 species
AACUCAAAGGAAUUGACGGGGACCCGCACAAGCGGUGGAUGAUGUGGUUUAAUUCGAUGCAACGCGAAAAACCUUACCCACCUUUGACAUGUACGGAAUCCUUUAGAGAUAGAGGAGUGCUCGAAAGAGAGCCGUAACACAGGUGCUGCAUGGCUGUCGUCAGCUCGUGUCGUGAGAUGUUGGGUUAAGUCCCGCAACGAGCGCAACCCUUGCCAUUAGUUGCUACGAAAGGGCACUCUAAUGGGACUGCCGGUGACAAACCGGAGGAAGGUGGGGAUGACGUCAAGUCCUCAUGGCCCUUAUAGGUGGGGCUACACUCGUCAUACAAUGGCUGGUACAGAGGGUUGCCAACCCGCGAGGGGGAGCUAAUCUCAUAAAGCCAGUCGUAGUCCGGAUCGCAGUCUGCAACUCGACUGCGUGAAGUCGGAAUCGCUAGUAAUCGCGGAUCAGAGUGUCGCGGUGAAUACGUUCCCGGGUCUUGUACACACCGCCCGUC